rnacentral:misc_RNA from 1 species
CUGGAUGCAAUACUCCAACAACCCUUGCGAACCUACCGAAACGUUGCCUCGGCGGGGCUCCUCGCGGAGCGCCAACCCGCCGGCGGCCUUAUACUCUGUCUCAUUUAGUGUCUCUCUGAGCCUACCAAAUAAGUCA